ensembl:lncRNA
GAAAAAAAAUAGUAACAACGUUCAAAUUUGAAAUCAAAAUAGGCUAAUGGUGUAAUUAGCCUCGGAUCAUAGCUCCCUGAGCACACUUAAAGCCUGUUGUACUUUCCGCUUGCGCGCUGUCCAGUGCCAUUCCAGCGCUGGAGUCGACUCCGACUCUAGGGCUAUUCAGAGUCGAGGAAUCGACUCUUUUGCAGUCAACUCCCCAUCCCUAAUAAUUGAUAGUUAAUAGGCUAGUGUAGUUCAUCUCGAACAAGAAAUAGCGAGCCUGCAGCAUAGGCCUAAAAUCAGACAUGGACAAGAAGAGAUUGGUUUUGGAAUUUUAGAACUGAAUAUGACAAAUUCAUUAAGUAAAAUAUAUUGGGAGAAGCAUCUCGGAUGUCAUUAAAAUACAAUAAAGACAAAUGAAAGUUCUUGGAUAGUGGAGCCUCGUCGCGACUCGGCACUGAUGCGAUGAACGCUCGCUUGAUAACCUGCGAGCCCUAAAACGGGUUUUGAACGUGAUUCGAGCUGCUUGUUCGAAUUUGGAAUUCACUAUUCUUGGUAUUUCUUUCUAUGGCAGGGAAAGUUGUAUGCUAUUUUGAAUUCAGCACUUGUUUGAAUUCUGAAGUAAAUCAUGAAUGCUUAUCUCGAAUUAAGUCACUCAGAAUUACAACUGCUUGUGUAAUUUCUGGAAUGAGUCAUGAACUGCUUGUGUGAAUUUUGUGACAUAUUUCACAAAGGCAGUUUAAGUGGCUAUAGCCAGGCAAGAUGGAAGUGGGUUCAAAAAAGGGGGAUUACUGAACCGAAGUCCAAGGUUUCUGCAAUACUCUUGGGAAGAACCACGUCUCAGCACAAGAUUACAUUUCAGUCCAGGCUCACGUCAAACCAUGCCAGGCGGGACAGGAAAUUGUGUCCCUGUCACUGGGACGCUGGAGAAAAAUCAGGCAUCCUGUUCGGUUAGCUGAAAGAAUCUACUGUUGCCCGAUGUGGUUUGGAAAGGCAUAGCGAAAUAAAAAAAAAAAAAAGCGCAGAGAGAGAAACUGAGAGAGAGAGAUGGAGCUGUGACUGAAAGGCUGAGAGUAUGAAGGCAUGUGUUUAAAUCCCCCGGAGAGUAAAUACACAGAACAAUUACCAUGUAAAAACAACGAAAACGGGAGCUGCCUGUAAAAGCAGGCCUUGCGGAGGAAAUGUCACUUUCUUAAAGCACACCUCUCUGUCAGAUGCAUUUAAAUGCACAGGUGAAGCUAAAAUAAACAGCUGUCCUGAAAAGAGAAAACUCCCCUAUCAUGGAAUUUCCUCCAAGUGCCCUGAAGCUUGCUCUAGAAGCUUUAAAUGUCUCCUUACACCUUUGAGAAAUUCGGUG